AGUAGGGCAGUGGACGACUUAAACCAGGGAUACUCGACCGUUUGCUGAGAUCGUGUAUUAUGAGACCACGGAUAAGAUUUUGAGUAGAAAUAAUGCUAAAGGGAAAUACCAUAUGGCACGAAAGAGGGGUCCUACAAUCUUUGGUUUAGUAAGGAAUGAUAAAGAGCACAUCCCGAUGAGUAGAAGGUCGGGAGUAUAUUCUAUUCCCCUGUACAAUAUUGAUGAACAACUGGACCAAUGUUAUGUCGGCAGUACCACUCGGGCCUUAGAAAAAAGAAUAUGCGAGCAUAAGGCAGAUAUUGCAGCAGGUAGGUUAACUACCGCCCUAUCAACUAUAGCAUAUGAGCACGAUGUGACAAUAGACUGGUUC
rnacentral:lncRNA from 1 species